GAUGAACGCUAGCGGGAGGCUUAACACAUGCAAGUCGAGCGGGAAGGGUAGCAAUACCCUGAGAGCGGCGCACGGGUGCGUAACGCGUAUGCAACCUGCCUUAUACAGGGGGAUAGCCCAUGGAAACGUGGAUUAACACCCCAUAGGACUGGAGUUUCGCAUGGGAAUUUGGUUAAAAUUACGGUGGUAUAAGAUUGGCAUGCGUCUGAUUAGGUAGUUGGUAGGGUAACGGCCUACCAAGCCGACGAUCAGUAGGGGUUCUGAGAGGAUUACCCCCCACACUGGUACUGAGACACGGACCAGACUCCUACGGGAGGCAGCAGUGAGGAAUAUUGGUCAAUGGGCGAGAGCCUGAACCAGCCAUCCCGCGUGCAGGAUGACGGCCCUAUGGGUUGUAAACUGCUUUUCUGCUCCAAGAAACCUGAUUACGAGUAUUCAGUUGACGGUAGAGUAGGAAUAAGCAUCGGCUAACUCCGUGCCAGCCGCCGCCGUAAGAC
rnacentral:rRNA from 1 species